rnacentral:tRNA from 1 species
GCCUGGGUGGCUCAGUUGGUUAAGCAUCUGACUCAAGCUCAGGUCAUGACCUCGCAGUUCGUGGGUUUGAGUCCCGUGUUGGGCU